rnacentral:rRNA from 1 species
GUGUCAGCAGCCGCGGUAAUACGGAGGGUGCGAGCGUUAAUCGGAAUUACUGGGCGUAAAGGGUGCGUAGGUGGUUAUGUAAGUUAUCUGUGAAAUCCCAGGGCUUAACCUUGGUGUGUCAGAUAAAACUGUGUAGCUAGAGUAUGAGAGAGGGUAGUGGAAUUUCCGGUGUAGCGGUGAAAUGCGUAGAGAUCGGAAGGAACACCAGUGGCGAAGGCGGCUACCUGGCUUAAUACUGACACUGAGGCACGAAAGCGUGGGGAGCAAACAGGAUUAGAUACCCUGGUAGUCCACGCUGUAAACGAUGUCAACUAGCUGUUGGCCUUAUAGAUGGGGCGAGUGGCGCAGCAAACGCGAUAAGUUGACCGCCUGGGGAGUACGGUCGCAAGAUUAAA